rnacentral:rRNA from 1 species
ACUGCAGUCGAGCGCAGGAAGCAAGUUGAUCCCCUUCGGGGGUGACGCUUGUGGAAUGAGCGGCGGACGGGUGAGUAACACGUGGGCAACCUGCCUGUAAGACUGGGAUAACCCCGGGAAACCGGGGCUAAUACCGGAUAAUACUUUCUUUUGCAUAAAGGAAAGUUGAAAGGCGGCUUCGGCUGUCACUUACAGAUGGGCCCGCGGCGCAUUAGCUAGUUGGUGAGGUAACGGCUCACCAAGGCGACGAUGCGUAGCCGACCUGAGAGGGUGAUCGGCCACACUGGGACUGAGACACGGCCCAGACUCCUACGGGAGGCAGCAGUAGGGAAUCUUCCGCAAUGGACGAAAGUCUGACGGAGCAACGCCGCGUGAGUGAUGAAGGUUUUCGGAUCGUAAAACUCUGUUGUUAGGGAAGAACAAGUUGGGUAGUAACUGACCCAACCUUGACGGUACCUAACCAGAAAGCCACGGCUAACUACGUGCCAGCAGCCGCGGUAAUACGUAGGUGGCAAGCGUUGUCCGGAAUUAUUGGGCGUAAAGCGCUCGCAGGCGGUCCUUUAAGUCUGAUGUGAAAUCUCGCGGCUCAACCGCGAACGGUCAUUGGAAACUGGAGGACUUGAGUACAGAAGAGGAGAGUGGAAUUCCACGUGUAGCGGUGAAAUGCGUAGAGAUGUGGAGGAACACCAGUGGCGAAGGCGACUCUCUGGUCUGUAACUGACGCUGAGGAGCGAAAGCGUGGGGAGCGAACAGGAUUAGAUACCCUGGUAGUCCACGCCGUAAACGAUGAGUGCUGGUG